rnacentral:tRNA from 1 species
GCCUAGUUAGCUUGGUUGGUAGCGCGUCUGCCUUGUAAGCGUUCGAUCGCGGGUUCGAUUCCCGCCCGGGGCG